AUGAAAAAUAAUUGGAGAUGCUGCCUGAAAGAAUGCGUACUUCAGCCUCUCUGACUCAUAUCUGUCAUAAUUCCAGAUCAUAAUUCCUAUAUGAGGAAAGCUUCAAGAGUUAUCAAAGAAUGUUUGUAACCAAAGCACUGAAGAAAGAAGGUGACUCACCUGAGAUGCCUGAUAUGAGAGAUGGAGUCUGUGUUGUACGGGAGGAUUUCUGUCUGCAGCCAUUUCAAUCAUGCAGUAACCUUCAAGACUGCUAACAGGCAACAUAUAGCUAGAAGGAAACAGAGGAUCUCAUUACUGUUUAUGCUACUGACAGAGGAGUAUCCAAACCUCACACAGCAAAGCAAUCCACCAUCAAGACUGAAGACUGUUGCUUUCUCCUCUUUAUGACAACACUGCUUCAUAUUCAGCAAUAAACCCCACUUUUGGUGGAAAAUUAAGAUGGUCUGUGGUUUUUUUUUUUUUUUGGUUGUUCAUGUGUUUUGUUUCUUUCUUUCUUUUUUUUUCUUUUCUUUUUUUUUUUUUUUUUGCAAGAAACCACUCAACUAUGAAGUGCUGAGGAACUAUAAGACAUAUGCAUAAUUUCAAAAACAUACAAAAUACUGUAUAAGUUGUAUUAAGGCAUACCAAGAACUUUAUAUAUUAAAACAUAUU
rnacentral:lncRNA from 7 species